rnacentral:lncRNA from 1 species
AACUUUUUUUCUUUUUUUCCCCCCACCCAGCCCAUGUUCUAUAAAAGCAAGUGUGAGGAGCUGGAGAGGUGGAGAGGAAUGCUCUAUGGCUAAGAAUCUGCUUGGGACCUCAGUUUUAGGGCAUGUGCCGUGUUUAAGCUUCCAUGACAGAGAAAUGAACAAAAUCUCCCUUGAGGUAACUAAUGAAAAUACCAAAGACUACCAAAACUGAGUAACCCUGGCAAAAUCCUAUUGGGUAAGUGCUUCUGUUUUUAUACUGAGCUAUUGAUU